rnacentral:tRNA from 1 species
GAGGGUGUAGCUCAAGUGGUAGAGCAUGUGCUUAGCAUGCAUGAGGUCCUGGGUUCAAUCCCCAGUGCCUCCU